AAUCCAUAGGUUAAUGAGGCGAACCGGGGGAACUGAAACAUCUAAGUACCCCGAGGAAAAGAAAUCAACCGAGAUUCCCCCAGUAGCGGCGAGCGAACGGGGAGGAGCCCAGAGCCUGAAUCAGCAUGUGUGUUAGUGGAAGCGUCUGGAAAGGCGCGCGAUACAGGGUGACAGCCCCGUACACAAAAGCGCAUGUGCUGUGAGCUCGAUGAGUAGGGCGGGACACGUGGUAUCCUGUCUGAAUAUGGGGGGACCAUCCUCCAAGGCUAAAUACUCCUGACUGACCGAUAGUGAACCAGUACCGUGAGGGAAAGGCGAAAAGAACCCCGGCGAGGGGAGUGAAAAAGAACCUGAAACCGUGUACGUACAAGCAGUGGGAGCACAGGUUUACCUGUGUGACUGCGUACCUUUUGUAUAAUGGGUCAGCGACUUAUAUUCUGUAGCAAGGUUAACCGAAUAGGGGAGCCGGAGGGAAACCGAGUCUUAAUUGGGCGUUAAGUUGCAGGGUAUAGACCCGAAACCCGGUGAUCUAGCCAUGGGCAGGUUGAAGGUUGGGUAACACUAACUGGAGGACCGAACCGACUAAUGUUGAAAAAUUAGCGGAUGACCUGUGGCUGGGGGUGAAAGGCCAAUCAAACCGGGAGAUAGCUGGUUCUCCCCGAAAGCUAUUUAGGUAGCGCCUCGUGAAUUCAUCUCCGGGGGUAGAGCACUGUUUCGGCUAGGGGGCCAUCCCGGCUUACCAACCCGAUGCAAACUGCGAAUACCGGAGAAUGUUAUCACGGGAGACACACGGCGGGUGCUAACGUCCGUCGUGAAGAGGGAAACAACCCAGACCGCCAGCUAAGGUCCCAAAGUCAUGGUUAAGUGGGAAACGAUGUGGGAAGGCCCAGACAGCCAGGAUGUUGGCUUAGAAGCAGCCAUCAUUUAAAGAAAGCGUAAUAGCUCACUGGUCGAGUCGGCCUGCGCGGAAGAUGUAACGGGGCUAAACCAUGCACCGAAGCUGCGGC
rnacentral:rRNA from 1 species